rnacentral:lncRNA from 1 species
UGUAUAAUUUAAUUAUUUGUUAUAAUCAAUCAAUAAUUCCAUAUAUUUUUUAUAAUGGUAAUCUCAAAUUUGAAGUGUAUUAAAAAAAAAAAAUUGAUCAACUACUGAUAUAAAGUCUCUAGACUUCUCGUCCAUGAAAAUGUUAACCUUUUCAAAGGACAUGAAUAGAAUUAUAUGAAGUUGUGGUUCAAUACCAAUUGGAAUCCAACCAAAGGCUCAAGAGUUUGUCAAGGAAUCCAUCUCAUGUGUUCAAACGCGCAUUUGCCAAGAAGAAUUCACCAGUGCAUAUUUCACGAUAAAUUUCGACUGACUUUCCUCCUCAUUUAGAUUUUAAUCCGAAAUAAGUUCCGUCCUCGGAAUUUGUUUCUUUUGUGACUAAGAACUGACUCACGAAGAUAACAAAGGGUUUACAUUAUUGUGGAUCAAUGUUUUGUAAGGAAUAUUACUAAAUAUAGUCGCCACCUGAUCCAUUAUGGAAUGGAAGGAAAUGUCUAUAUUUUAAUAAUUUAUCGUUAAUUUCAAAGCAUUUUUGAAUUAGAUACUCUUCACUCAUACUUUGUAUAAAUUUGACAAUUACUUUUUUUCUUUAUAGAAUGCGAAUAUUUAAUACAUAUACGAUAAUAUACCGAUGGUCCUUGAAA